AGCCCCGGCUAACUACGUGCCAGCAGCCGCGGUAAUACGUAGGGGGCGAGCGUUGUCCGGAAUUACUGGGCGUAAAGGGCACGCAGGCUGUGAUUCAAGUCAGCUGUAAAAGGAUGCGGCUUAACCGUGUUUAGCAGUUGAAACUGGAUGACUGGAGUGCUGGAGAGGCAAGUGGAAUUCCCAGUGUAGCGGUGAAAUGCGUAGAUAUUGGGAAGAACAUCGGUGGCGAAGGCGACUUGCUGGCCAGUAACUGACGCUGAGGUGCGAAAGCCAGGGUAGCAAACGGGAUUAGAUACCCCGGUAGUCCUGGCUGUAAACGAUGAAUGCUAGGUGUGCGAGCAGAGAUGUUGGUGUGCCGCAGUUAACGCGAUAAGCAUUCCGCCUGGGGAGUACGGUCGCAAGAUUGAAACUCAAAGGAAUUGACGGGGGCCCGCACAAGCGGUGGAGCACGUGGUUUAAUUCGAUGCAAACCGAAGAACCUUACCUGGGUUUGACAUGUAUGUGGUAGGAGCCGGAAACGGUGACGACGUACUUUUGGGUAUGAGCAUACACAGGUGCUGCAUGGCUGUCGUCAGCUCGUGUCGUGAGAUGUUGGGUUAAGUCCCGCAACGAGCGCAACCCCUGCGGCCAGUUGCCAGCGGUUAGGCCGGGCACUCUGGCAGGACUGCCAUCGACAAGAUGGAGGAAGGUGGGGAUGACGUCAAGUCAUCAUGGCCCAUAUGUCCAGGGCGACACACGUGCUACAAUGGGCGGUACAGAGGGAAGCGACACUGCGAGGUGAAGCGGAUCCCAUAAAGCCGCUCUCAGUUCGGAUUGAAGUCUGCAAUUCGACUUCAUGAAGUUGGAAUCGCUAGUAAUCGCAGAUCAGCCAAGCUGCGGUGAAUCCGUUCCCGGGCCUUGUACACACCGCCCGUCACACCACCCGAGCCGGGUGUACCCGAAGCCGGUGGCCUAACCGAAAGGGAGGAGCCGUCGAAGGUGUGUCUGGUGAGGGGGGUGAAGUCGUAACAAGGUAGCCGUACGGGAACGUGCGGCUG
rnacentral:rRNA from 1 species